rnacentral:rRNA from 1 species
GAUAAACGCUGGCGGCGUGCAUAACACAUGCAAGUCGAACGAUGAAGAUUAAAAGAUUUCUUCGGAAUGAACUUAAUUGGAUUAGUGGCGGACGGGUGAGUAACGCGUGAGUAACCUGCCUUGUACAAGGGGAUAGCCGUUGGAAACGACGAAUAAUACCCUAUGACAUCAAAUAAUCGCAUGAUAAUUUGAUCAAAGAUUUAUCGGUAUAAGAUGGACUCGCGUCUGAUUAGCUAGUUGGUAGAGUAAAAGCCUACCAAGGCAACGAUCAGUAGCCGGCUUGAGAGAGUGUACGGCCACAUUGGGACUGAGACACGGCCCAGACUCCUACGGGAGGCAGCAGUGGGGAAUGUUGCACAAUGGGGGAAACCCUGAUGCAGCGACGCCGCGUGAUUUAGAAGGCCUUCGGGUUGUAAAAAUCUUUUGUAUGGGAAGAAAAUGACAGUACCAUACGAAUAAGGACCGGCUAAUUACGUG